rnacentral:rRNA from 1 species
CAGUAGCCGCGGUAAUACGAAGGGGGCUAGCGUUGUUCGGAAUUACUGGGCGUAAAGCGUGCGUAGGUGGUGGUUUAAGUCCGUUGUGAAAGCCCUGGGCUCAACCUGGGAAUUGCAGUGGAUACUGGGUCACUAGAGUGUGGUAGAGGAUAGUGGAAUUUCCGGUGUAGCAGUGAAAUGCGUAGAGAUCGGAAGGAACAUCUGUGGCGAAGGCGACUAUCUGGGCCAACACUGACACUGAGGCACGAAAGCGUGGGGAGCAAACAGGAUUAGAUACCCCCGUAGUCCCUGUCUCUUAUAC